rnacentral:rRNA from 1 species
CAGCAGUCGCCGCGGUAAUACGUAGGGCGCAAGCGUUAUCCGGAAUUAUUGGGCGUAAAGAGCUCGUAGGCGGUUUGUCGCGUCUGCCGUGAAAGUCCGGGGCUCAACCCCGGAUCUGCGGUGGGUACGGGCAGACUAGAGUGAUGUAGGGGAGACUGGAAUUCCUGGUGUAGCGGUGAAAUGCGCAGAUAUCAGGAGGAACACCGAUGGCGAAGGCAGGUCUCUGGGCAUUAACUGACGCUGAGGAGCGAAAGCAUGGGGAGCGAACAGGAUUAGAUACCCCAGUAGUCCCUGUCUCUUAUAC